AAAAGAAACCAACAGGGAUUGCCCCAGUAACGGCGAGUGAAGCGGCAACAGCUCAAAUUUGAAAUCUGGCCUUCGGGUCCGAGUUGUAAUUUGGAGAGGAUGCUUCUGGCGCGGCACCGUCCGAGUUCCUUGGAACAGGACGCCAUAGAGGGUGAGAGCCCCGUACGGGCGGCUGCCUAGCCUUUGUGAAGCUCCUUCGACGAGUCGAGUAGUUUGGGAAUGCUGCUCAAAAUGGGAGGUAAAUUUCUUCUAAAGCUAAAUACCGGCCAGAGACCGAUAGCGCACAAGUAGAGUGAUCGAAAGAUGAAAAGCACUUUGAAAAGAGGGUUAAAAAGUACGUGAAAUUGUUGAAAGGGAAGCGCCUGUGACCAGACUUGCGGCUCGCGGAUCAUCCAGUGUUCUUCACCGGUGCACUCCGCGGGCUGCAGGCCAGCAUCGGUUUUCCUGGGGGGACAAAGGUCGCGGGAACGUAGCUCUUUCGGGAGUGUUAUAGCCCGUGGCGUCAUGCCUCCGGGGGGACCGAGGA
rnacentral:rRNA from 1 species